rnacentral:rRNA from 1 species
AACGAACGCUGGCGGCAGGCCUAACACGUGCAAGUCGAACGCUCCGCAAGGAGAGUGGCAGACGGAUGAGUAACACGUGGGAAUCUUCCUAUCGGUGCGGAAUAGCUCAGGGAAACUUGAGGUAAUACCGCAUACGCCCCCAGGGGGAAAGAUUUAUCGCCGAUAGAUGAGCCCGCGUCUGAUUAGCUAGUUGGUGGGGUAAUGGCCCACCAAGGCGACGAUCAGUAGCUGGUCGGAGAGGAUGACCAGCCACCCUGGGACUGAGACACGGCCCAGACUCCUACGGGAGGCAGCAGUGGGGAAUAUUGGACAAUGGGCGCAAGCCUGAUCCAGCCAUGCCGCGUGCGGGAAGAAGGCCUUCGGGUUGUAAACCGCUUUUGGCAGGAACGAAACGGCGACUCCUAAUACGGGUGGCUAAUGACGGUACCUGCAGAAUAAGCACCGGCUA